rnacentral:tRNA from 1 species
GGGCGGUUAGCUCAGUUGGUAGAGCAACUCGUUUACACCGAGAAGGUCGGGGGUUCAAGUCCCUCACCGCCCACCA